rnacentral:rRNA from 1 species
CCUANGGGGGGCAGCAGUCGAGGAUUUUUCUCAAUGGGGGAAACCCUGAAGGAGCGACGCCGCGUGAGGGAUGAAGGUCUUCGGAUUGUAAACCUCUGUCAUCUGGGAACAAUGCUAGUCACCCAACACGUGCCUAGUUGAUAGUACCGGAAGAGGAAGCAGUGGCUAACUCUGUGCCAGCAGCCGCGGUAAUACAGAGACUGCAAGCGUUGUUCGGAUUCAUUGGGCGUAAAGGGUGCGCAGGCGGUGUGUUAAGUCGGAUGUGAAAUCUCACAGCCUAACUGUGAUAGGUCAUUCGAAACUGGCAUGCUAGAGGACUGGAGAGGAGACUGGAAUAGUCGGUGUAGCGGUGAAAUGCGUAGAGAUCGACUAGAACACCGGUGGCGAAGGCGGGUCUCUGGACAGUUCCUGACGCUCAGGCACGAAAGCCAGGGGAGCAAACGGGAUUAGAUACCCCGNUANUC